rnacentral:lncRNA from 10 species
UAAUACAUUUAUAAAUUUAUGUACAAAACUCACUUAUUGAGUGCUUACUAGGUGCCGAAAUCUGAAUAGGGAAUACUGAUACAAGUCUACCAUGAUUCUUUAUCUUAAGGAGUUCAAACUCUUUGUCAGGGGAGGGAGAGAAGCAAAACAAACAAACAAACAAACAAACAAACAAACAAACCUAGUGCCAUAUAUGGCUAGAGACACU